CGGGUGAGUAACACGUAGGUAAUCUACCUUUUGAGUGGGGAAUAACUUAGGGAAACUUAAGCUAAUACCGCAUAAUGCAGCGGCAUCUAUGAUGACAGUUGUUAAAGGAGCAAUCCGCUUAAAGAGGAGCCUGCGGCAGAUUAGCUAGUUGGUAAGGUAAUGGCUUACCAAGGCUACGAUCUGUAACCGACCUGAGAGGGUGGUCGGUCACACUGACACUGAAUAACGGGUCAG
rnacentral:rRNA from 1 species